AUUGAACGCUGGCGGCAUGCCUUACACAUGCAAGUCGAACGGCAGCACGGGAGCAAUCCUGGUGGCGAGUGGCGAACGGGUGAGUAAUAUAUCGGAACGUGCCCGGUCGUGGGGGAUAACGUAGCGAAAGCUACGCUAAUACCGCAUACGAUCUACGGAUGAAAGCGGGGGAUCGCAAGACCUCGCGCGAUUGGAGCGGCCGAUAUCAGAUUAGGUAGUUGGUGAGGUAAAGGCUCACCAAGCCGACGAUCUGUAGCUGGUCUGAGAGGACGACCAGCCACACUGGGACUGAGACACGGCCCAGACUCCUACGGGAGGCAGCAGUGGGGAAUAUUGGACAAUGGGCGAAAGCCUGAUCCAGCAAUGCCGCGUGAGUGAUGAAGGCCUCGGUUGUAAGACGUCUUUACUUCGGGUACGAGUAA
rnacentral:rRNA from 1 species